UGGAUCCGACCUGCUGCAUGAACCUGCUGAAAAAUCACUUCUUUAUAAUCAUGUUUUAAUCGAAUUGAAUAAUUAUGCAUACUAAAUAUGUUGUCUUUUAUUUCAAAUUAACCUCUUUUAUGUAGCUAUAACCGGGGCUAGUUGUCACAUGGAUCUCCAUGCACCGGAUCGCUCAGCCUGUGGAUUACGGAGCGGAGAGAGGACAUGGGCUGUGAGUUUGACCGUCGCUCCCCUGGGUUCCACAGCCAGCCCCUCCCUGCCAUCAAAGACCACAAGCCACUGGAUGAAAAGAAAAUAGAGGAGGGGCUGAAGACGCCAUGAGGACAAAGAGAUUGUGAUAUUACAAGAAGAGACCAAAUGACAUGCGAAAAACAGAGUCGAAUGCCUUGUAAAUGAAAUGUGAAGCCACAUGGGAGCUCCACUCACACAAUCUCGGCUCCUGACUGCAUAUACGAUGGUUUAGAGAGCGCGUGGGAGGGCUCAAGUGAAUCCUCGCUGUGUGUGGGCCUUGUUCUCCUCCGUGAAACACUCACACACACUAAGUUAAAAAGCCCAAAUGAACCCAAUGAGCAUUUGUUGGCUAUUAUUAAUGGUGACUAAGAGCAGUUGUGGGCUGUCUAAUGCAAUGAAUGACACACACACACACAUGUGGUGCACAGUGCCAAACGCCUGUUGAGGAACUUGACAAGUGUGUUUUAAAGUCAACAUGACAUCAAAAUUGACUAAAUUGAAUUUACUUUCUCAAAACACAUCAAAGUUCUUAUUAAGUAUGAUUCAGCAGUAAUUUUGUUAUAAAUAAAAAAUAAAAUGCUUUUUCUUACACUUGCGCCGCCUCUGAAACAAAUGUCCUUCUUAACUGAUGUUUUCAAUGCCAUGGACCC